rnacentral:rRNA from 1 species
UACGUAGGGUGCAAGCGUUAAUCGGAAUUACUGGGCGUAAAGCGUGCGCAGGCGGUUAUGCAAGACAGGUGUGAAAUCCCCGAGCUCAACUUGGGAACUGCACUUGUGACUGCAUAGCUAGAGUACGGUAGAGGGGAGUGGAAUUCCGCGUGUAGCAGUGAAAUGCGUAGAUAUGCGGAGGAACACCGAUGGCGAAGGCAAUCCCCUGGACCUGUACUGGCGCUCAUGCACGAAAGCGUGGGGAGCAAACAGG